rnacentral:lncRNA from 1 species
AAGAAGACGAUCCAAACAAAGCAUCAUGGAUACCUUAUUUAUAUGUGGACCCAGCCGAUCCAAUAUGUGCAGGAUACAUUGAUUACUUAAAACACAAAAAAUUCAUGUCUAAGAUCGGUGCAAGCAAAAUCGAGAAAGCCGGUUCUGGAAAGUCAGUUAGGUGUCUAUUGCUCGAAAGAAAAGGAAAAUCAUCAUCGUCGGAUUUGUCAACGGAACCUCUUCACCUUCUUCCUUCAGCAGAUAUGAUUGUCAACAAGAACAAACCUACUACGUCUAUGACAGCUCAUGGGCUUCACCAAUGGUGGGAGCGAGACUCGUCACUGAGAGCAAAUUGGGAGAGCCGCUGCAUUAGACCCAACUCUAAAGGCAAUUAAUAGCAGAAAUUAACCAUACAAUAGAAACGAGGGUCACAUGUGGUUUGGUUAAAUGGCUUUAUGCCUUUUAUGUAUAUAUCUGGUUCAGGUUCCAUUUGUUCUAAUUUGUAUUUUCCUUUUUUUUUGGUUCCUUCCGUGUAUUGGUUGUCUCUAUGUUCCCAUGUUUUAUACCUCUUUCUCUUUAUUUUGCUUCUUUUAGUUUUUUUUUUUUUUUUGAUUUUUUUCCAUGUAACUGUUUAUAAUAAUUUCUUGAGAAAUUCCUAAAAAUGGCCCUAAAACAAGUUUUAUUGACAAUAAUAGCACACACUCCAUAAACUUCCAAAAAUAGCACUAGUUAACUUACUAUUAGUGUUUUUGUUCUAAAAAUUUUAUCACUAGUUUUUUUUUCAAUAAUACCACAACUUUUAUAUAAAAGCUAUUCAACAAAAUAAAUUAGAAAUAAAUUUAAAAUAUUAUAUUUGGGUUCCCUAUUUCCAAUUUAGGGUAUAUAUUUCUACCAUUUAAAAGAGAUUUUGAUUCAUUUUAAUAUUAGUUUAUGGUAUUAUAUUUGGGUUCCCUAUUUUCAAUUUAGGAUAUAUAUUUUCACCAUUUAAAAGAGAUUUUUAUUUUAAUAUUAGUUUGUGGUAUUACAUUUGGGUUCCCUAUUUCCAAAUUAGGGUAUAUAUUUCCACUAUUUAAAAACAAUUUUGAUUCAAUUUAAUAUUAGAUUAGUGUUUGCUCUCUUUUUUAUUUUCUAUCUUAUAUUUUCAUUAAGUUUAAUUGAAGUUUAUGGUGCUAUUUGUGAAACUUUUCAAAUGAGGUGCUAUUUUUGGAAAAAACAACUUUUUGGGGCUAUUUGUGUCAAUCUCCCUAAUUUCUUUAUGUUUUCUUUAACAAAGAUGAUACAAUAUAUAAUAACUGAAAUAUAAUGUUAUAACCGUGUGGUUAAUUGAUUAAACCAUAAUUAACAAAUAUAUAAGUGAUUAAUUAAAACCAUACCAUUUACUCUAUCUGUUUCAAUAUAUAAGAUGUUUUAAAGUGUCUAUUUUGUUUCAAAAUAUAUGAUGUUUUCCAAUUUUCUAUGCAACUUUAAAUAUAUUUGAUAUUUUAUGACUUUUUGUAUUUUGCAGUCUAUUUUCUAAUUGGUUGAAUUUUUUAAAUAAACUCUUAAAUGAUAGUUUUAAAAGAGAAAAUAAAUUUUCUUAAAAUAUGUGCCUUUAACCCAAACAUCCUAUAUUUUGAAAUAGAGUGAAUAUGAUAUUUAAAAUAUAUUAAUACAAAUAAUUGAUCAUAUUUAAAUAAUUAGUUUUAGGCCUCUCAUAUAUAUAUAUAUAUAUAUAUAUAUAUAUAUAUAUAUAUAUAAAUAUUUGAAAUAACCAAAAAUUUUUGAGUGUACAUCAUUUUAUAUGGUUUCCUUCCAAGUGUUAAUCGAACCGACGAUCUUUAAACUUUGCCUGAAAAUAUUUACCAAUUGAGCUAUUGACACUUGGUUGGCCUCUCAUAUAUUAAGCUGGUCUUGGUGAGAUCCUACAUAUUAGCAUGUUUUGUACCUCUUUCAAUCAUUUUGCUGCCAACUGCAUAACUUAUUAAAAAUGAUUUAUGUAAAAUUUCACAAACUAAACUAGACAUACAUUUAUAAUUUAUAUAUUACGAUUGACUCGAAUAUGAUGUCUAUAAUACUACAAUAUAUAUGUAAGGUUGUGAACAAUAUAUUGUUCUGACUUAUAUAUAGGUUAUGCAUGAAAAUAGAUUUAAUGCGAUCCCCUCCUAAAAUGUAACAAUCGAUCUCUACUAUUCAUAAAAGAAAAGUAUAUAAAUUUGUGUAAUGAAAAAAGGAGAAGUAGAUUCAUAUAUAAAUUUGUGUAAUGUGUAAUCCUUUAACAAAAAAAUAAAUUUGUGUAAUGAAGAAAAAGGAGAAGUAAUUUUGGAGUUGCCCAUUGUGCAACUCUCUUCUCCAUCUUAUAUAUAAAAUUAUCUAGAAUUUAUUUAUAGUUUUGGUGACAACUUAAAUCUCUUUUACAUUUCUUGCAUCAAUAAAGUUAUUCAAUUUCCAAUCUCGUUUAUCUCUUUUAGUUAGCUCUACAAAACCUAGAAUAAGCUUGGUUUGGAUUCUUCUACAUCGUGAUCAUGUCUGCUAUAUAUAAUUAGUGAAGUUUAUGAUGUGAAGACUCUUCAAUUAUGAUUGGCUACAAAUUGGGUUAAAUUUCAUUUUCUAAUGGUCAAACAAAGAUGAUAAUGUAUAUAGUAAAAUCUUUUUUUUUUUUUUGAAUUUAAUGUUAAAUUAUAUUCAAAAGAAAAAUAAACGUUUCUACAACUCAAUGCGAUGCAAUUCAAAACAUUUUUGAAACUUUGAAAAGAAAAACUGAGUCUUCUCUAUAGCCUUGACGCAAACCAAGCGUGGAUGCCGCUUGUGGCUUCUCCCCCUCCGAUUGUGCUCAAUCGGUUUCGUACAUUUUUAUCGAUCAACUUGACAAGUAUUUCCGUUGGUGAGGGCUGUUCACCAUGUCUCCUUCUAUUCCUUUCACUCCAGAUUAAAUGAAUGGUGUUUUGAAAUGUGUACUUGAGCAGGAAUGUUUUUGUCUUAUCAAUGCCUUCUCCUUUGAGAAGUUUCAUGAUCUCUGGCCAGCUCUCCGAGAACUUAUCCAACAAAAGCCCCUGAACCAAUUCUUUCCAAACUGUCUUCGAAUACGGGCACGUGAAGAACAGAUGAUCUCUGGUUUCCAUAGGUACACCACAGAACACACAGCUCGUGUUUGAGUUCUGCUUCCAUGUCAACAUUCUUUCCCCUGUUGCGAUCCUGUUUUUAAACACUAGCCAAGUGAUAAAUGCAUAUUUUGGAGUCGCAUGUGUGAACCAUAUCUCCUUGGACCCCUCCAUCAUCGGUUUCGCAGUGCGGAUUUGCUCCCAAGUUUCUCUGGUCGAGAAUCUCUUGCGAUAGCAGCUGUUUUUUCCUUUCCAUAGAGCCGUAUCUGUCUCAUUUCCUCUCAGCUGCAGUCUUGUUUUUUUAAUUUCUUCUUCAACACGGUUCAGCACUUCCUGGCGAUGCUUUCGUCUUCUAGACAUUGCUAUCACUUCCUUCACUGAGCUAGAUAAAGGGAUCCCCAAAUCAAUACAACCUCGCCCACCUAGCUUCUCCUUAAGGCAUCCUAGGUCAGACCAUGUGUCGUGCCAAAAAGAUGUGGUUUCUCCAUUCUUAACGUCAACUCUAUGAAACUGUCUUGCGAUAUCACGAUACUUAAGCAACUUUCGCCAUAUCCAUGAGCCGCAUGUGGUGGUCUCUUUCACAGCCCAGAAGGAGCCAUUCCGGAUUAGAUACCUGUUAACCCAGUCCACCCUUAAAGAGCCUCUUGCAGAAAGAAUGCGCCAAAUCAGCUUUAACAUGCUUACUCUGUUCGCAUCUUCAAGUGAUCUCAAACCCAAGCCUCCUUCUCUCUUUGGUGUGCAAACCUCAGCCCACGCUACUUUUGCUUUUUUGUUAUUCAAAGAAGGGUCUGACCAAAAAAAUGCCGAGCACAUCUUAUCGAUUUCCUUAAUACAAGCUUUAGGAAGGCGAGAUGUGGCAAUCCAAAAAUUAGUAAGACUAUAAGUGAUUAGUAAUUUUUUUAGUGAUUAAGACUAAAAAUUAGUAAGACUAAAUCUUAUUUUCUUGCUACUUGAACUUCAACAAUAUUAUCUAAAAGCUUUAACGAUUUGACUCCGUAAACUAAAAAGAACUAUGUUCAUGAAUAGAAUUUAAUUCACUUAUAAUAUAUAAAGAGAAAGUCAAAUAAAAAUAUUUAUAUAUAUAAUAAUAUUGUCAUUGUGUAUUUGUAAGAAAGCAAAUAAAUUGAUAAACAACAACAUUACUUUUUACUUUUUUUUUUGUUAAAUAAAUCAUCUUUUCUAAUUGAUCAUUGGUUUUAAAAAAGUGUUUUGUGCAAAAAAAACUCUUCAACUCGUCUAUUUUUGCAACUUAACCCUUCAAUUCCAGAAAAUGCAAAUUGAUCAUAUGAAGUCCAAAAUAAUACACAAUGUAAUCCUUAUACGUAUCUUGUAAACGUUUUUCCGGUCACGCAACAAAGGAUAGUUUUGGUAUUUCACAUUAUCUGACAACAUGGGACCUUGACUAUUUUGCAACAAAAAACUUUUUCUCUAUUAUUUUCUUAAUUUCAGUGGUUUAUUUGGCUAUUCAGUAAUAUUACCCUUCAAAAAAUUACAUGUUUUCAAUUUUCUAUAGGUGUAGUUAUUGUUGUUCUUUUUCUCAAUUUACCCCUAUAAGAUUUAUUAUUAAAAUAAAAAGAACUUGUGUAACAUUUAUUAAAAACAAGAUUAUAAUUGUCAUUUCCCUACCAAAAGAAAAAAAAAAAAAAGAUUACAAUUGUCAUUUUAGAGAACCUUUUGGUAUGUGUAAGAAACCUAAAACAUGGAAGAGGCAGUAUAUUUUUUACUUGUUAAGAAGAUAUGAUGAUACUUGAUGUUUGACAUUUGAACCUUUUUUCCCGUUUUUUUCCGUUUUAACUUUGAUUAUUUAGCGUAUUUUAAUUUGACACUACAUGAAUUCGGGUUAAGUGAAUAUAGUAGCGUUGACCUAAAAUACAAAUUCCAACUUAUAAUUAAUUUGGUAAUUUGGAAAGCUUAUUAGUUCCAUCAUACAUUUCCAUUGGAGGGCCAAGUUGGUUGCUUUCUCGCAUUGGAUCGAUGAACGACUUCAUUAUUAUUUUUUUUGUUUAGUCAGGAUACAAACGUGCUCCUUCAAGAUGGAGCGUCGUAUGUGACUCCAAUCUUUUACUAACAAAUCUUGGAAACUGGUGUGAGGAAGAUUGUUUGACACCAUAAUCAAAAUUUGUUUUAGGGUAGUAUAUGACUAUUUUUUUGUUAAUUCGGUGCAUUAAAUUUAAAGAAAUAAACAAUACAAGACUAUGAUCUUUUAGGAUCAUACAGUUUGAGGAAACAAGUAGGAGGUCAGGCUAAAGGCUCAUACAAUUUACAUAGUAGUGGGAUGCGGCUACCUCUAUGCAUUAGUCCAAAAACAUUCUAAAUUAGACAGUGUAGUGGUCCUUCGAGAAGAAGUGCAGUCUAAAGCACUUCGUUGCAUUUCUACCGGAGCUGACUGGAUCAACCGAUAGAAAAGUUAAGUAAAAAAACUUAUAUACUAAGCUAAAUAUAUGACUAUUUUAAUCAGUUUGAUUGUGUCCCAAUGGAGACAUAAGGUUUCUUUUACUUUAUAUAUGAUUUCAAAAAUCGAAACAGUAGUACCCGUUCUCAAUAAGAUUGAUUCAGGCUUUUAAGUAUGUUUUUAAUUUGCUAAUUAAUUUUUAUAAAUUUUGUCAAUUUGUAAAUAAAGAAGUAGUUGAUACGGUCUGGCUCGUUUCAGUGUGCUUGUGUCAGUGCUGAAGGGGUAAUCUCAAAGUCUCCGGAUCCAAAAAGUCUUUUAUAUUUUUAGCAUAUUUAUUAACAGCAAGAUGCUUUUUUCUGUGUAACAACAACUCAUGACUUCUUCUUUUGUUGAACUCUUAAAUUUCAAAAAAAAAAAAAAAACAGCAGAAGAACUCCUUUAGUUUGUUUUCUUUAAAAGAACUCUUAAGCUACUGCAUCAGAUUCGAUAAAAUUCGAUUCUGAUUGAUCUGUAAGACCACGGAAAAGGGUAAACGUUUUACUUUUGGUUUUCUUAUUUAGUUAUUUUCACCAUUUUCUGUUAUUUUCUUUCCUUCUAAAAAGAAAUCUCUACAAUGUUUUUAGAAUCUGUCGUUUAAAAACACAUAAAUAUCAGCUUUUCCUUUCUUUUGUUUUAAUUAUUGGCAAUCAGAGAUCUUGAUUAGUUUACACAACAUGCAUUUAGUAGAAAGGUUUCGCAGUGGCCAAAAAGAUGCAACCAUUGCAAUUGUUUUUAUUCUGUAGUUUACAUUUUCUCCAUUUUUAUUUAGUCUCGUGCAACGAUUUUCUUUCGGCAGUUAUCCCUCGUUAUCCUCAUAUUGCCAAAUAAAUGUAUUACUAAGUGUAUAUGUGAAGAUAAUAUUGGUAAUAACAUGUAUAGACCAACAUUUGUAGUACAUUUACAUAUUGUUCUUCACCAUUUCACGUUAAAUCAAUUUGAUUACUAAUUUGGCAAUAAUGUAAUAAUAUCUUAGAUUAUAGGAACAAGAAGAGGAAGAAGAAAUGGGACGAGGUUCUCUCAGACAAAUGAUGGGAGGAGGAGUGGUGGCCUUAGACUCAGAUAGAGACAUUUUCAGCAUCUCUGGCCCCUUCCAUCUUACAUCUAUUGAUUGGUAACAUUUUAUUUACUAUGCUUCUUUUAUUGUUUUUUUUUUUUUUUCUUGUAACCGUGCAUAAAGCAAAUGUUGACAAUUAAAGGCGUCUGUAGGAAAUAAAUUAUGGACUGUCUGUACGUUUUUUUUUUUUCGGCAAAUCAAAUAUAUUGAUAUCAUAAAAGUUUACAAGGUACAGAAUAGAUACAAAACAACCAUUGUACGCAAAUAUAGGAAAUUGAAACAAUUUCGAUGAAAGAGUGGAGAGUAAAUUAAACCUCUACCUAAUUUUCUCUGAAUUUACUAUAUAUAAACUUUCGAAUUCCACCCAGUCUAUUAAAUUCAUCCCAAAUAAGCAAAUUUAAUUAAUCUCGUCAAUUGCAAUUUAAAAUCUUUAAACGGCGUUUACUGUUCCGUGAUUACACUAACCUGAUUUAAUAAAUUGACCCGACAACACUAGACAACAAGCGUGAAAAUUAGAGGCUAAAAAUACAGAACUAUCUAGGCUUUCCAUGAAUUAUAGAACGUUCUUUCUUUCUUUCUUUUUUGGCUCAAACACAACUUUUCAACAACCAAAUUAUAAAACUUAAAGCGUUACGAAGUUUUUUUUUUUUUAUGAUAGACGAUGGAAGGUUUUAAUUAAAACUCUAUGAAUUCAUGUGCCGUGAGGAGGAGUUUCUUAGUAAAAGUUGAUCUCUGAAGAUCCAUAUUGAUAUCGCCUACUUAUUUAAAAUUAAAAUAAAUAUCCAAUAUAUAUCCGAAUUCUAAGAAUAAUUUGUUUUUUUUUUAUAGGAACAAUUCGUACCAUCGGACCUCAGUAGCAUCAAGUUUGGUAAAUGGAGUGUACAUAUUGGAACGGGACAGGCAAGAGAGACGGGUAGGUUCCGGAUCACUAGCCAUGCCCUGGUGGGAUUUCUUCAACUUCUCUUUAGUCGAAACCUUGAUCGACGACUACGACGGCUCCAUAUAUGGUGCCGUUAUAUGGAGCCGUUUUCGAAUAUAAGCUCUCCAACUUUUGCCAAAAUACCCCUCACGUGAAAGUACCUCCACGUUACGUGAUUGCGUUCCGCGGCACAAUCCUAGAGUCAGAAACUUGGAUAUCUGACGUCAAACUCAACCUCAAAAUCAGCUUUAAUUAACACCCUCCAUCAUGGCAGUAGGUCUAUGCACGCCAUACGAGCAAUCCGCAAUGUGGUGGACAAACAUAACCAUUCAGCUAUAUGGCUUGCUGGACACUCUUUGGGAGCCGCCCUAGUGUUGUUGGCUGGAAAGACCAUGACACGUUUCGGAUAUUUCCUCGAAAGUUACAUAUUCAACCCACCCAUCUCGUCUAUUCCUCUAGAACAGCUACCUGGGGGAGAUAUGCUUAAAGGUAUGUUUCAAAUCACCAAGAGUGUCGUCAAAGCUACCGUAGCCAUUGCCUUAACCGAUCUACAUGUAAAUAAAUAAUAUUUGCCCUACUUGACUGAGUUUUUUAAAAUAUAUAUAGUACUAUUUUCAAGUUGAUUUUCUUACAAGAAACUGUUUGUCUUAAAUUAUUAUAGGUUCAAGAAGAAGAUCCAAAAACAGCAUCAUGGAUACCUUAUUUAUAUGUGAAUUCAGCAGAUCCAAUAUGUGCAGGAUUCAUCGAUUACUUCAAACGCAAAACCUUCAUGUCUAAGAUCGGUGCAAGCAAAAUCGAGAAAGCCGGUUCUGGAAAGUCAGUUAGGUGUCUAUUGCUCGAAAGAAAAGGAAAAUCAUCAUCGUCGGAUUUGUCAACGGAACCUCUUCACCUUCUUCCUUCAGCAGAUAUGAUUGUCAACAAGAACAAACCUACUACGUCUAUGACAGCGCAUGGACUUCAUCAGUGGUGGGAGCGAGACCCUACUCUGAGGGAAAAUUGGGAA